GCCCGGUUAGCUCAAUCGGUAGAGCGUGUGGCUGUAAGUUCCCACUUAAAAUCAGUCAUUCGUCUGACUCAAUCACUAACAUCAUCCCAGUUUAUGAAGCACACCUCAAGGUUGCGAGUUCGAGCCUCGCAUCGGGCG